rnacentral:rRNA from 1 species
UGGGGAAUAUUGCACAAUGGGCGCAAGCCUGAUGCAGCCAUGCCGCGUGUAUGAAGAAGGCCUUCGGGUUGUAAAGUACUUUCAGCGGGGAGGAAGGCGAUAAGGUUAAUAACCUUGUCGAUUGACGUUACCCGCAGAAGAAGCACCGGUUAACUCCGUGCCAGCAGCCGCGGUAAUACGGAGGGUGCAAGCGUUAAUCGGAAUUACUGGGCGUAAAGCGCACGCAGGCGGUCUGGCAAGUCGGAUGUGAAAUCCCCGGGCUCAACCUGGGAACUGCAUUCGAAACUGGCAGGCUAGAGUCUUGUAGAGGGGGGUAGAAUUCCAGGUGUAGCGGUGAAAUGCGUAGAGAUCUGGAGGAAUACCGGUGGCGAAGGCGGCCCCCUGGACAAAGACUGACGCUCAGGUGCGAAAGCGUGGGGAGCAAACA